rnacentral:lncRNA from 1 species
GGUCCCCAGGGAGCGCUGUUUGUUUGUUUGUUUGCUUGUUUGUUUGUCUGUUUGUUUAACGGAGCGCUGCGCUGGGCAUCCCGGCGACCGACGAGGACUUCGCUGAGUCCUCGGGGAGAUGCAAACGAGUCCGUUCUCUUUCUAGGAGCUCCAACUCGCAGCGCCAAGCGCCGAGGAUGCCGGACGGACUCAAGAUCCUAACUCUAACCUGAGGGACUGAGCGACUGCUCGCCCCAAAGUGUUCGCUCUCCUUCCUGGAAGAGCCACAAGGGGUUCGAGGCGACGCCCUAGGGACCCUUGGGAAGCGUCACGUCAGCCGCUUUCCCUCAUCCCUCGCUGUUGGGUGUCUGUGGAACAAACUCGUUUUCAGGACUGUGAUGACUAUUCUUCGUUGUCAACUUGACUAUAUCUGGAAUCACCUACAACCCAGAAAUGGAGAAGAGCACACCUGUGAGAGAUUGUCUGCUUAAAGUGGAUGAAUCCACUUCUAGUCCAGACCUUUGAGGUAGGAAGACACACAUUUUUAAUCUCAAUCUCGAGGUGGGAAGACACAAGUCUUUAAUCCAAAUCUUAAGAGAUGUCUUUUGUGAACAUAUGAGCCAUACUUUCAGCUGGAUGUCUGUAUAAGGACGUAAAAGAAGGAAGCUUUUACUCUUUGUCUAUCUGCUCUUGCCUUGCUAGCACAUCCAUUCCCUCACUGGUAUUACAACCUACUUCUGGAUUGCAGCAUAUACUGAAGACCACCUGAGACAUGCAGCCUUGUGGGACUGAGCAACCACUAGAUUUUUAGACUUUUUAUUGUUGGAUUAGCUGGACUACAGAGGAAGGAGAGAGAGAUUGAUUCCAUAAGUUCUGUGACUCUAAAGAACCCUGACUAAUACAGAUUUUGGUACCAGAAGUGGUUCUAGAGAAGCAGAAGUAUAAGGAUGAAUCUUUUAAGUAUCUGGAAUAGGCAUUUCAAUUCGCCGGCACCUUCAGCUACUGAAGUCUCUCCAGUCACCCCCUCUCCUGGGAGCUUGGAGAGUACUGAAGGCCCAUGGUAUGAACUGUAUUACAAACUUAAAGAGAUAAAUGAAUUUGAUUAUCCUGGCUCACCAAUUGUGAGCGACAAUGGAUUAGGUGACCCUGUAUAUGAAACUUUUGACAGUUUGGGGGAAAAUAAGGAAAAUGAUGCUGCUGGUUGGUUGCUUUUAGCAUCUCUGGAUAAACUGAUAAAGGAUAGGAAUGAGCUCCGGGAUAAAAUUAACCAACUGCAGAAUAUGGUGAAGGACAACAAAGAACUUAAUGAUAAAAUUGACCAUCUUCAGAUGCUCAUAAACAAUCUAAAGGUUUCUAAGUGUGCCCUGGAAAAGAAUCUUCUCUCCAGCAGCCACAAAGCUCAGUUUAUGGAAAACCAAACUGAAGCUCUCAUUAUUCGGUUAGCCGAGUUACAGGGAAAAUUCAAGUCCCAGCCUCGGAAAGUGUCAGCAGGUAAAGUAAGAGCAUUAAUUGGUAAAGAAUGGGAUCCUAUAACUUGGGAUGGAGAUGUGUGGGAGGACCCUAUUGAAUCUGAGAACUUUGAAUCUUCAGAUUCUCAAGUGUUUAUCUCACCUGAGGAAGUAGUACCCUCAGCCCCACCCCUUGAAAUACUGCCUUUUUCACCUUUCACUGAGGAAAUUAAUCCUUUGUUAUCUAUUAAACCAGCAGUGGCUAUCUCUAAAGGAAAUGCCAAGCAAGACAAUACUGAUGUCCCUGAGAGCCUCAAAAUAGUUGCCUUUAGACCUACAACCAGACUUAAGGCAAAGCAGGCUCCUAGAGGGGACAUAGAGAGUGUGGUGCAUGAGGAAGUGUGCUAUACUACUAAGGAGCUUAAUGAGUUUACUAAUUCAUUCAAGCAGAAGUCUGGGGAAUAUGUGUGGGAAUGGAUUUUAAGGGUGUGGGAUAAUGGUGGAAGGAACAUAAAACUGGAUUCGGCUAAGUUUAUUGACAUGGGCCCUCUGAGUGGAGAUUCUAGGUUCAAUAUGGAAGCUCGCACAGUUCAAAAAGGUGUCAAAAGUUUGUUUGAAUGGUUGGCUGAAGUGUUUGUCAAAAGAUGGCCUACUGAGAAGGAAUUGGAGAUGCCUGAUAUCCCUUGGCUUAGUGUUGAUGAAGGGAUUUUAAGGCUCAGGGAAAUUGCAAUGCUAGAGUGGAUAUAUUGUGUAAAACCUAGUGCUCAACAAUGGGAAGGCCCAGAAGACAUGCCCUUCACUAAUCCAAUAAGACGCAAAAUGGUGAGAGGGGCACCAGCACAUUUGAAGAGUUUUGUUCUCUCCCUUUUGCUUGUGCCAAACCUUAGGGUUGGAGAUGCUGCUACUCAAUUGGAUGAAUUAAAUGCAAUGGGCUUAAUUGGGCCCCGGGGUAGCAGGAGCCCAGUGGCAGCACUGAAUUGACAAAAGUAAGGCGAUCAUAACUAUUGUAUGAGCAGCAUAGACAACACAAUGUUCAUAAUGGCAUGACUUGUAUGGACCUUUGGUACUGGCUCAUCAGUCAUGGUGUUUCCAGGCAUGAAGUGGAUAAGAAGCCUACUGAAUAUUUGAUCUAUAUAAGUGGAAAAAUUCUC